CUGGCGGCGUGCCUAAUACAUGCAAGUAGAACGCUGAAGGAGGAGCUUGCUUCUCUGGAUGAGUUGCGAACGGGUGAGUAACGCGUAGGUAACCUGCCUGGUAGCGGGGGAUAACUAUUGGAAACGAUAGCUAAUACCGCAUAAGAGUAGAUGUUGCAUGACAUUUGCUUAAAAGGUGCAAUUGCAUCGCUACCAGAUGGACCUGCGUUGUAUUAGCUAGUUGGUGGGGUAACGGCUCACCAAGGCGACGAUACAUAGCCGACCUGAGAGGGUGAUCGGCCACACUGGGACUGAGACACGGCCCAGACUCCUACGGGAGGCAGCAGUAGGGAAUCUUCGGCAAUGGACGGAAGUCUGACCGAGCAACGCCGCGUGAGUGAAGAAGGUUUUCGGAUCGUAAAGCUCUGUUGUAAGAGAAGAACGAGUGUGAGAGUGGAAAGUUCACACUGUGACGGUAUCUUACCAGAAAGGGACGGCUAACUACGUG
rnacentral:rRNA from 1 species